rnacentral:rRNA from 1 species
UACGUAGGGGGCAAGCGUUGUCCGGAUUUAUUGGGCGUAAAGAGCGUGUAGGCGGCCAUGCAGGUUCGUUGUGAAAACUGGAGGCUUAACCUCCAGACGUCGAUGGAAACCGUAUGGCUAGAGUCCGGAAGAGGAGAGUGGAAUUCCUGGUGUAGCGGUGAAAUGCGCAGAUAUCAGGAAGAACACCCGUGGCGAAGGCGGCUCUCUGGGACGGUACUGACGCUGAGACGCGAAAGCGUGGGGAGCGAACAGG